GGGUAUAGCUCAGUGGUAGAGCACAUGCUUAGCAUACAUGAGGUCCUGGGUUCAAUCCCUAGUACCUCCA
rnacentral:tRNA from 1 species